GGAUUAGAUACCCUGGUAGUCCACGCCGUAAACGAUGUCGACUUGGAGGUUGUGCCCUUGAGGCGUGGCUUCCGGAGCUAACGCGUUAAGUCGACCGCCUGGGGAGUACGGCCGCAAGGUUAAAACUCAAAUGAAUUGACGGGGGCCCGCACAAGCGGUGGAGCAUGUGGUUUAAUUCGAUGCAACGCGAAGAACCUUACCUGGUCUUGACAUCCACGGAAGUUUUCAGAGAUGAGAAUGUGCCUUCGGGAACCGUGAGACAGGUGCUGCAUGGCUGUCGUCAGCUCGUGUUGUGAAAUGUUGGGUUAAGUCCCGCAACGAGCGCAACCCUUAUCCUUUGUUGCCAGCGGUCCGGCCGGGAACUCAAAGGAGACUGCCAGUGAUAAACUGGAGGAAGGUGGGGAUGACGUCAAGUCAUCAUGGCCCUUACGACCAGGGCUACACACGUGCUACAAUGGCGCAUACAAAGAGAAGCGACCUCGCGAGAGCAAGCGGACCUCAUAAAGUGCGUCGUAGUCCGGAUUGGAGUCUGCAACUCGACUCCAUGAAGUCGGAAUCGCUAGUAAUCGUGGAUCAGAAUGCCACGGUGAAUACGUUCCCGGGCCUUGUACACACCGCCCGUCACACCAUGGGAGUGGGUUGCAAAAGAAGUAGGUAGCUUAACCUUCGGGAGGGCGCUUACCACUUUGUGAUUCAUGACUGGGGUGAAGUCGUAACAAGGUAACCGUAGGGGAACCUGCGGUUGGAUCACCUCCUUACCUUAAAGAAGC
rnacentral:rRNA from 1 species